rnacentral:siRNA from 1 species
CCAAUCCUCUGUUGCUGCUCUGCC